rnacentral:rRNA from 1 species
UACGAAGGGGGGCUAGCGUUGCUCGGAAUUACUGGGCGUAAAGCGCACGUAGGCGGCUUGUUAAGUCGGAGGUGAAAUCCUGGAGCUCAACUCCAGAACUGCCUUCGAUACUGGCGAGCUUGAGUUCGGGAGAGGUGAGUGGAACUGCGAGUGUAGAGGUGAAAUUCGUAGAUAUUCGCAAGAACACCAGUGGCGAAGGCGGCUCACUGGCCCGAUACUGACGCUGAGGUGACGAAAGCGUGGGGAGCAAACAGG